rnacentral:lncRNA from 1 species
CCAGUUGCUAUUAGGUUUUCGGCCCUGGAUGAAGGGAUAUGCGGUUAGGAUAAUAGUGAUUCCCUAUUGAGUGGGUGGUUAGUUGAAUAGUUUGAUCUAUCGGGUGAAAAUGGUUAAAGGGGUAGAUCUAACGGCACAAAAUUCGACAGUACUAAACAUUUAGUACUAUCGAUGUAAUAUACUGAAUCUGGGCCUAUUGACAAGUUCAAGGGUUGGAAUGGCUUUUGGAACUGAUCUACGACGUUUGAUAGACCUUAGAAAGGUUUUGACACGUUACUGAAGUAAGAAAGUAACUGGAAUUGGAAAAUUGCAUCGUAAAUGCAUUAUCAAUUGCAAUGCUUCGAAAUUGGUCAAUUGCGAAGUUCGAAUGCGGGAAAUGGUAAGUGGAACUACUCUACAUAUUCUAAAGGGCUUAGACAAGUUUUUGGAUAAGUUAGAGAGUGAUUGGAGGGUUAAAAGCAAGAAAGUGCAUUGAAUGGACGAAAUCAGUAUUUUUCUGCUUGCUGUACCGGUACAGCCAUCACCUUGUACCGAUACAGACUGGACAGACUGGCAGAAA